rnacentral:rRNA from 1 species
AUACGUAGGGGGCGAGCGUUGUCCGGAUUUACUGGGCGUAAAGGGUGAGUAGGUGGAUAUUCAAGUCGGGUGUGAAAGCCCCGGGCUCAACCUGGGAACUGCAUUCGAUACUGGAUGUCUGGAGUAUGGUAGAGGAAAGUGGAAUUUCCGGUGUAGCGGUGAAAUGCGUAGAUAUCGGAAAGAACAUCAGUGGCGAAGGCGACUUUCUGGACCAAUACUGACACUGAGGUACGAAAGCGUGGGGAGCAAACAGGAUUAGAGACCCUGGUAGUCCACGCUGUAAACGAUGAGAACUAGGCGUUAUGUCUGUUUUGCAGAUGUAGUGCCGAAGCUAACGCGUUAAGUUCUCCGCCUGGGGAGUACGAUCGCAAGAUUAAA